ACGCGAUGAAGCCCAGACCUGCAGGGUUCGUGGAUAAUAAACUCAAGCAGCGAGUCAUCCAGUAUAGACUAUGGUCGAAGAAAAAGAAAUGCUUUUAGGAUUCAGGUAGAAAAAGUAUUUAGCAUAAUUAGUAGUGAGAAGGAACUUAAGAAUUUAACAGAAUUAGAAGAUGAACAUUUGGCAAAAAGGGCAAGACAAGGUGAAGAGGAUAAUGACGUCUCGCUCUGUCACCCAGGCUUCAGUGCACUGGCACAAUCAUGGCUUACCGCAGUCUUGACGUCCCAGGCCCAAGCGAUCCUCCCACCGCAGCCUCACAGGUAGCUGGGAUUACAGGUGUGUGCCAGCAUGCCCAGCUAAUUUUUUAAUUUUUUUGUAGAGACAGAGUCUCCCUUAGUUGCCCAGGCUAGAAUUUGUAUCUUAAUAUCUUAAUUAUAACAGCAUUUCAUUGCAUUCAUAUAAAGCUUUCUACCUAAAAAAAAAAAAAAAUUAUUUAAAUAAGAAAAGGGCUUUUUUUUUUUCUUAUUUAAAUAGUUUUUUUUUUUUUUUUAGGCAGAGUCUCGUACUGUGGGCCAGGCUGGAGUGUAGUGGCACGAUCUUGGCUCACUGCAACCUCCGUCUCCCGGGCUCAAGUAAUUUUCCU
rnacentral:lncRNA from 1 species